AGCUUAGUUUAGGGUUUAAAAACCCUAAUGCUGGCUGAAUGGAAAAGCUCAGUUUAGGGUUUAAAAACCCUAAUGCUUGCUGAAUGGAAAAAGUUCAGUUUAGGGUUUAAAACCCUAAUGCUGACUAAAGGAAAAAUUCAGUUUAGGGUUUAAAACCCUAAUGCUGAUUGCAUGGAAAAGCUCAGUUUAGGGUUUAAAACCCUAAUGCUGGCUGAAUGGAAAAAAGUUCAGUUUAGGGUUUAAAACCCUAAUGCUGGCUGAAAGGAAAAAAGUUCAGUUUAGGGUUUUAAAACCCUAAUGCUGACUAAAGGAAAAAUUCAGUUUAGGGUUUAAAACCCUAAUGCUGAUUAAAGGAAAAGCUCAGUUUAGGUUUAAAACCCUAAUGCUGGCUGAAUGGAAAGAGUUCAG
rnacentral:lncRNA from 1 species